GAAGUGUUAGUAAAACAAUUACAUAGUCGUUGUCAAGACUAAAUUACAGGCGCAAACCCUGUACACCUCAUAUGGCUAACCACUCA
rnacentral:tRNA from 1 species